CUACUGUUUUGGUUGUGAAUUAUUGGAGUUCAUCGUUGAAUAUUUUGAUGUUUCGAAGUAAUCAGAAUUUAGUGCGAAACAGCGCGGUCAGGGUUUGACUCGAAUUAAUUAGUUUUACAAUUUCUUAUAAGUCACAUUUGUGGAUUUGAUGUCGCUUACAAUUUGUUUUUUUUACUCAGUGCAACGUUAUUUGCAGAAUAGUUUACAACGCGGCGCCAUUUUAGGCUAUAUUUGUACGUUAGUUUUAUACCUGGGAAGUUUAUACCUAAUGGCGGUUAAUACAUUUCUUAUACGUUACUAUUCCUAGAUACAGCCAUACUUGGCCUAUAUCUAUCUCGUUAUUGUUCGCCUGUAAGUUCGUGCAAGUCAUGAUAUAUUCUUUCUCCACGUGGUUCCACUGCAAUCACUACUGCAUAGGUUGGAUGGUGCAAAAUAACAUGACCAUGUUCUCGGAUGGAUGAAAUGUCCUGCCAUCAUAAUGCUCUGAGAUAAGCUGAGUGAAAGAAGGUGCAGUGCUGCAAGUGAGACAAUGCUAAUUGUGGGUCAGUGCGCUGUUGGAUGGUGCGAAAUAAGAUGACCAUGUUCUUGGAUGGAUGAAUUGUCCUGCCAUCAUAGUGCUCUUUGAGAUGGGCUGAGUGAACCUUCUGUAAAAGGUGCUGAUGACUGGUGGUAAAGGUGGUGCAAGUGCAGGUGCUGAUGACUGGUGGUAAUGGUGGCACAAGUGCAGGUGCUGAUGACUGGUGGUAAAGGUGGCACAAGUGCAGGUGCUGAUGACUGGUGCAAGUGCUGGUGCUCGGAAGCUUUUGACCAGCAGGUGGAAUUUAAAGUGUUCAUAUGGAUGGUGCAAGUCAAACCUGAAGUGUAAAUUGUUUAACUUAUGGCUUUGUUUUUCUUUUUUUCAAUAAACUAAAGCACUUAGUGCUUUAUUGGGACAA